rnacentral:ncRNA from 1 species
CUCACCUGGCCUGGACACGGAAAGGAUUGACAGACUGAUAGCUCUUCCUUGAUUUUGUGGGUGAUGGUGCAUGGCUGUUUGUAGUAGGUGGAGUGAUAUGUCUGGUUAAUUUUGACAACGAACAAGACUCUGGCAUGCUAACUAGCUAUGCAACCCCAGAGAGGUCGGCACCUAACUUCUCAGAGGGACAAGUGGCAUUCGGCCAACUGAGAUUGAGCAAUAACAGGUCUGUGAUGCCAGUGUG